rnacentral:rRNA from 1 species
GACGAACCGUGCAAACGUUAUUCGGAAUCACUGGGCAUAAAGGGCGCGUAGGCGGCUUUCUAAGUCAGGGGUGAAAUCCGGCAGCUCAACUGUCGCAGUGCCUUUGAUACUGGAGAGCUCGAGGGAGGUAGGGAUCUGUGGAACUUCCGGUGGAGCGGUGAAAUGCGUUGAUAUCGGAAGGAACGCCGGUGGCGAAAGCGACGGACUGGAUCUCUUCUGACGCUGAGGCGCGAAAGCCAGGGGAGCAAACGGG